rnacentral:rRNA from 1 species
UACAGAGGUCUCAAGCGUUGUUCGGAUUCAUUGGGCGUAAAGGGUGCGUAGGCGGCGCGGUAAGUCGGGUGUGAAAUCUCGGGGCUUAACUCCGAAACUGCAUUCGAUACUGCCGUGCUUGAGGACUGGAGAGGAGACUGGAAUUUACGGUGUAGCGGUGAAAUGCGUAGAUAUCGUAAGGAAGACCAGUGGCGAAGGCGGGUUUCUGGACAGUUCCUGACGCUGAGGCACGAAGGCCAGGGGAGCAAACGGG